AUGAACGCUAGCUACAGGCUUAACACAUGCAAGUCGAGGGGCAGCAUUUUAGUUUGCUUGCAAACUAAAGAUGGCGACCGGCGCACGGGUGAGUAACACGUAUCCAACCUGCCGAUAACUCAGGGAUAGCCUUUCGAAAGAAAGAUUAAUACCUGAUGGCAUAGGAUUAUCGCAUGAUGAUCCUAUUAAAGAAUUUCGGUUAUCGAUGGGGAUGCGUUCCAUUAGUUUGUUGGCGGGGUAACGGCCCACCAAGACAGCGAUGGAUAGGGGUUCUGAGAGGAAGGUCCCCCACAUUGGAACUGAGACACGGUCCAAACUCCUACGGGAGGCAGCAGUGAGGAAUAUUGGUCAAUGGACGGGAGUCUGAACCAGCCAAGUAGCGUGAAGGAUGACUGCCCUAUGGGUUGUAAACUUCUUUUAUACGGGAAUAAAGUGAUCCACGUGUGGAUUUUUGUAUGUACCGUAUGAAUAAGGAUCGGCUAACUCCGUGCCAGCAGCCGCGGUAAUACGGAGGAUCCGAGCGUUAUCCGGAUUUAUUGGGUUUAAAGGGAGCGUAGGUGGAUUGUUAAGUCAGUUGUGAAAGUUUGCGGCUCAACCGUAAAAUUGCAGUUGAUACUGGCAGUCUUGAGUACAGUAGAGGUGGGCGGAAUUCGUGGUGUAGCGGUGAAAUGCUUAGAUAUCACGAAGAACUCCGAUUGCGAAGGCAGCUCACUGGACUGCAACUGACACUGAUGCUCGAAAGUGUGGGUAUCAAACAGGAUUAGAUACCCUGGUAGUCCACACAGUAAACGAUGAAUACUCGCUGUUUGCGAUAUACGGUAAGCGGCCAAGCGAAAGCGUUAAGUAUUCCACCUGGGGAGUACGCCGGCAACGGUGAAACUCAAAGGAAUUGACGGGGGCCCGCACAAGCAGUGGAGUAUGUGGUUUAAUUCGAAGCAACGCGAAGAACCUUACCUGGGCUUGACAUCCCUGGAAUCGAGUAGAGAUACUUGAGUGCCUUCGGGAAUCAGGUGACAGGUGGUGCAUGGUUGUCGUCAGCUCGUGCCGUGAGGUGUCGGCUUAAGUGCCAUAACGAGCGCAACCCUUAUCUUCAGUUACUAACAGGUCAUGCUGAGGACUCUGGAGAGACUGCCGUCGUAAGAUGUGAGGAAGGUGGGGAUGACGUCAAAUCAGCACGGCCCUUACGUCCGGGGCUACACACGUGUUACAAUGGGGGGUACAGAAGGCAGCUACCUGGCGACAGGAUGCCAAUCCCGAAAACCUCUCUCAGUUCGGAUCGAAGUCUGCAACCCGACUUCGUGAAGCUGGAUUCGCUAGUAAUCGCGCAUCAGCCAUGGCGCGGUGAAUACGUUCCCGGGCCUUGUACACACCGCCCGUCAAGCCAUGAAAGCCGGGGGUACCUGAAGUACGUAACCGCGAGGAGCGUCCUAGGGUAAAACUGGUAAUUGGGGCU
rnacentral:rRNA from 1 species